rnacentral:rRNA from 1 species
AUGAAAUUGCAUUAUCACCCCGGAAAGGCUAAUGUAGUAGCUGACGCAUUAAGUCGCAAGAGCCAUGUCAAUACAUUAAUGACGGGAGGAAUACCAAGGGAGUUAGCCGAAAAUCUUCGUGAACUAUGUUUGGAAAUAGUUCCGAGAGGUUAUGUAGCAGCAAUGGAGAUUCAGUCAACCUUGAUGGAUAAAAUCAGGGAAGCUCAGAAAGCUGACAAAGAGAUUGCCGCUAUAAAGGAGAAACUGAGCAAAGGAAAAGCUAAAGGAUUCCGUGAGGAUGAGCACGACACCCUAUGGUUUGAAGACCGCGUUUAUGUCCCCAAUGAUCCGGAGAUCAGAAAGUUGAUUUUGCAAGAGGCACACGACUCACCGUAUUCAAUUCACCCAGGAAAUACCAAGAUGUAUCUGGAUUUGAAGGAUAUUUUCUGGUGGACCGGAAUGAAGAAGAAUAUUGCGGAGUAUGUAGCAGUUUGUGAUAUAUGCCAGAGAGUAAAGGCAGAGCAUCAGAAGCUAGCAGGAUUGUUUACAACCAUUGCCGAUACCCGAAUGGAAGUGGGAUAA